GAGCCUCAACCUGUCAGCUGCUGCGAGAGGCCUGGCGUGGCAAUAACGCAAAGGCAAACUCUUAAGGAGCACUGUGAGGAUCCCUGGGUCCCACUGCUCCUGACCAGUCCAUCACCCACAGAAACAAAUGAAGUGGAAUUCUCACUAACCAAUCAGGCUCAUGCAGGCUUCCACCCUUGGCCAGCAGCUCCCCAGGCUCCUCCCCUGAG
rnacentral:lncRNA from 1 species